UACGUAGGGUGCGAGCGUUAAUCGGAAUUACUGGGCGUAAAGCGUGCGCAGGCGGCUUUGCAAGACAGAUGUGAAAUCCCCGGGCUCAACCUGGGAACUGCAUUUGUGACUGCAAGGCUAGAGUACGGCAGAGGGGGAUGGAAUUCCGCGUGUAGCAGUGAAAUGCGUAGAUAUGCGGAGGAACACCAAUGGCGAAGGCGAUCCCCUGGGCCUGUACUGACGCUCAUGCACGAAAGCGUGGGGAGCAAACAGG
rnacentral:rRNA from 1 species